UACGUAGGUGACCAGCGUUGUCCGGAUUUACUGGGCGUAAAGAGCGCGCAGGCGGUCGUUCAAGUCGAGUGUGAAAGCCCCCGGCUCAACUGGGGAGGGUCAUUCGAUACUGAUCGACUUGAAGGCAGGAGAGGGAAGUGGAAUUCCCGGUGUAGUGGUGAAAUGCGUAGAUAUCGGGUAGGAAACACCAGUGGCGAAGGCGACUUCCUGGCCUGUUCUUGACGCUGAGGCGCGAAAGCUAGGGGAGCAAACGGG
rnacentral:rRNA from 1 species